CUCCUUCCCUCUUUAGCCCUGGAAAGGUCUCUUCCUCCCUCCCCUCCGUGCAGCAGCUGCUGGUGGUAAACAGGCAGAGACGGGGAGACGGGGAGACGGAGACAGCCCCUGACGGUAUUUGUUUCCAGUAGGAAGACUGGUGGGAGGCGGCCACAGCUGGGAACUGGGGCAGCAGGUGCACCUAGGCAGGAGGCCGGAGGGCUCUGCGACUCCAGGGACAGCACCACGAAGGGCAGCCCGGUCACCCACUCCAGGAGCUGCAGACAGAGGUGGCUCCAUCAGCCACCAGCUCUCCGGGAGCCCGGGCUUCUCCCCGCUGGGUGCAAGGGCUGUGUUGCAACAGAACUAGCGCCCUCUCUGCCCACCCCUGCUCAGGAUCUACGAGGGAUCUCUCUCAGCCUCGCCUGGGAACCUUGGUCUGCAAGCAGAGCUGCCUGGAUCUGUGGCCUCUCGGACCCCUGAGGAGCCGCAAGUGGGCCAGGUUCUGGCCUGUGGCUGUGGCGGGGGUGGGGGGGAGUGUGUGGAGGUGAACGGAGGCUGCCUGGCGUCAGAGCUCAAAUGCUCUGCAGGAAAGCGAGACAAGAAGUGGCUGGAUCGGGUCUUGGUGCAGUGUCUGUCUACUCGUGCACAGCCGGGUGUGCACACAGCAGGGGCAGGGUGCAGCUGCGGAAGGACCUGUAUUUCCUGGAACCAUGGUGGAGAGAGCCCAGCUCAGCAUGAGGUCCCCACCAACCGAGGCACAGCCUUGGACUCUGUCCACCAGCAGUUCCCAGUCCCCAAGGACAAACGAUCCACUCCCCUGGGGUAGCUCAAGCUGCCACCUCAGGUGCCAGAGCUUUAAUCCUCUCCAAGAGCCGUGUGAUGAAGUCCUGUUUACAGGUGAGGAUGCCGAGGUUCGGGACGGUCAAACACCCUACAGAAGAUCAGCAGGUAACAGCAGAUAUUUGAACCCCAAGUCUGUCUGGCUUUAACUCCGGGUGUUAAAGUCUGUCUGUCUGUCUGUCUGCCUAUCUGCUUAGGAGGCCAGCUCCCUCCUGGGGAGUCGUGGAGGUGAGGAGCAGUGAGGGGAGUAGUCUACCCCAGGGACAAGGCAGCAGUGGCCCAGGUCACCUUUUUUGGAAGUCAUUGUGACCAUCUCCCUGCCUGCAGGGAAGCUGCUUCCAGCUUCCCCAGACCUGCGGAGGAGGAGGGCCCAGCCCCAGCCCCAGCCCCAGCCCCAUGCACUUUUUAUCCUUUCUGUUUCUCAGCUGUGGGUUCACUUCAGCCAGGGAACUCUCCUUUCCCCAGCUUUUGUUCCCCAAAUUGACACGAGGGAAGUGACUCUAUUCCUGUUGACCUCAUAGAAAAUAAAAUGCAGGGUUCAUUAUUCUA